rnacentral:rRNA from 1 species
GACGAACGCUGGCGGCGUGCUUAACACAUGCAAGUCGAACGGUGACGACUGGAGCUUGCUCCGGUCUGAUCAGUGGCGAACGGGUGAGUAACACGUGAGUAACCUGCCCCAGACUCUGGAAUAACCCCGGGAAACCGGAGCUAAUACCGGAUCGAGACGGAGAGGCAUCUCUACCGUCUGGAAAAUUUUUCGGUCUGGGAUGGACUCGCGGCCUAUCAGCUUGUUGGUGAGGUAACGGCUCACCAAGGCGACGACGGGUAGCCGGCCUGAGAGGGCGACCGGCCACACUGGGACUGAGACACGGCCCAGACUCCUACGGGAGGCAGCAGUGGGGAAUAUUGCACAAUGGGCGAAAGCCUGAUGCAGCGACGCCGCGUGAGGGAUGACGGCCUUCGGGUUGUAAACCUCUUUCAGCAGGGAAGAAGCGAAAGUGUCGGUACCUGCAGAAGAAGCACCGGCUAACUACGUGCCAGCAGCCGCGGUAACAC